rnacentral:rRNA from 1 species
AUUGAACGCUGGCGGAAUGCUUUACACAUGCAAGUCGAACGGCAGCACGGGGGCAACCCUGGUGGCGAGUGGCGAACGGGUGAGUAAUACAUCGGAACGUGCCCAGUCGUGGGGGAUAAC